rfam:Flavobacterium branchiophilum FL-15, complete genome.
GUUUUGCGUGAGGGAUAGCAGUGGAAAUCCUUUUUUUGGGUUUUUGCGGGUUUUUUUUUACCCCGCAAAAACCCAAAAAAAGAUUGGAACGAAUAGCCCGACCCGUA